rnacentral:rRNA from 1 species
UACGGGGGGGGCAAGCGUUGUUCGGAAUUACUGGGCGUAAAGGGCUCGUAGGCGGCCAACUAAGUCAGACGUGAAAUCCCUCGGCUUAACCGGGGAACUGCAUCUGAUACUGGAUGGCUCGAGUUUGGGAGAGGGAUGCGGAAUUCCAGGUGUAGCGGUGAAAUGCGUAGAUAUCUGGAGGAACACCGGUGGCGAAGGCGGCAUCCUGGACCGGUAUUGACGCUGAGGCGCGAAAGCCAGGGGAGCAAACGGG